GAAAAGCUGAUGUAGCUAAUAGAAGUAUCAGCUGAGAGGCAGAAGCUGCUGCUAUCUUUGGGAAGUCUGAAACCCUGUUACAGUGGUUUGCAUGGCCGAGAUGGACUAGGAAGUUUGCUUGGCCUGGGUAUGUAGUGUCACCCGAGCCAAGGUCUGGUCACUGGGAUCCCAGCAAUAGAAGCCCUGUAUCUUGGAAACUCUUAAGAAUUAUUAGUGUGGCAUUCAAACAUUAUUUUCUUCAGCUAGCAAGCGGUUUCCUGAUGAUGCUUUCAAAACUGGGAACUUGAUUCUGCUUUAUUGUGUGAUUCAGAAGACCUUUAGUGCAUAUUUGUGCCUAUUAAGUCUGGAUUAAGUCUGGGCACUCCCACUCACAAGGCGUUAUCCACCUCAUUACACAUGCAUUAUCAAAACAGGUUUUGGUAACAAGCAACAUCACAUGCCUUCCUUGAUAAAUGGUGUGGGUACCUUGGGAAAAGUUGUGUCAGAUGUGGGAAAUACAUGACAGAUGUCUGGGAGUUGCCCAGUGGGCAGCCUGGUGGCACUGAUUAAAAACCCCAUUGAAUUGCAUUAGCAAGCAUGUUUGCUGCUGCCAAAAAAGAGAUGAAAUCUCUUUUGGGGAGUCAGACACUUAGGACAAUACCCAGAGCAGCAGUGUUUAUAUGUGAGCUGGGCAGAAGAGCCAUUACACUUCCAAAAUGAAGGUAUCCAUGCAACUGCCAUGGAAGCCAAGGUAUGACCUUAUAGGAACAGUGCCAAAUGGUAAUUUAAGCAGGUUUCCUCUGAGCACUUCAGAGAAAAAUGAUGGUGAGUGAAAGCAACCUGUGCAAAUCACUCACCCAACCUGCAGCUACACCUGUACACUGCAGUGAAGGUAUUUCUUUGUGUCAGUCCAACUGAGACAUGAGUUGGGCUGUGGGAGUUGCAUGAAGACUUCUGCAGGCAGCCCCAUGAGAGGGGCAGCAGGACAAGGAGAGCACACUGAGCCUGCACCAUGCAAAACCUUCUGGCUUUUAUCACUGCCAGCCUUGCGUGAUAAGGCAUGAUGACUAAUGUAAGCUCAAAUAAAAUUAAUGUUCUUGUCCAUUUAUGGCUAUGUGCUAACCUCCCAGAGCUCAGUAGUGAGGGAACAUCGGCCCUGUCUAUUACAAGCUUGUGGUAAAUUACUUUACAAACUCAGAGUUCAAAAUAACACUCCCUUGUGUUGUCACUAAUGCAGUUGCAUGGUUAAUUAAUAGAUCCUGAGAAAAAGGUUUAAAUAGAAAUACAUUUUAAUACAUUUUGUUAUCAAUACUUCAAACUGCACAACUUUUAGAGCUCCACUGACAAGGAUUACACCACAAAUCUGUUAAAAUCUGGGCAGGUUAGGACGAGUUCUCUCGAUGCUUUGAAUUUUCACUGUUUUGGUGUUUUUCCUGAGUUGUACAAAAGGAGGAUUCUAAAACACUUCUGUAAAUGCACCUGGGAGUUAGCUUAGUGUGAAUUUUAAUCUGAUGUGGAAGACCUCAAGUUUCGCCAUGUUUUUGUAAAUCCUUUUGUCCUAUUUUUUUUUUCUUUCAUUACAUAAUUGUGAGUGACAUGACUUUAAUUUUUCUGUUGUUAAAGUGAAUCUAAAGGGAGAGAGAAAGAUAUAGUUGAAAAACCUUGAAAUAUCCCCCAAAGCUUGGAAAUUCUGACUAACAUAAUUAUUCCAAGGUCAAAUUCAGAAACCUGUCACUUGAAUUGUAUUCCUGCACCUGGGCAUCUCCACAUCUGAUAGAGUUACACCAUACCCUCUGUUCUCACUGCUCCUGUGUCUUGAAAUAUUUGAUCUUCACAACUCAUCCCUGUCUGCAUAACAAGCUACCAAACUUUUGGGGGAGAUUUCCCA